rnacentral:rRNA from 1 species
GACAGAGGGUGCAAACGUUGCUCGGAUUUACUGGGCGUAAAGGGCUCGUAGGCGGCCAACUAAGUCGGAUGUGAAAUCCCCAGGCUUAACCUGGGAACUGCAUCCGAUACUGGAUGGCUUGAAUCCGGGAGAGGGAUGCGGAAUUCCAGGUGUAGCGGUGAAAUGCGUAGAUAUCUGGAGGAACACCGGUGGCGAAGGCGGCAUCCUGGACCGGCAUUGACGCUGAGGAGCGAAAGCCAGGGGAGCAAACGGG